rnacentral:rRNA from 1 species
UACGUAGGGGGCAAGCGUUGUCCGGAUUUAUUGGGCGUAAAGCGCGCGUAGGCGGCGCGGUAUGUCGUGCGUGAAAUCUCCCGGCUUAACUGGGAGGGGCCGUGCGAAACUGCCGGGCUUGAGGUCGGAAGGGGAAAGUGGAAUUCCGGGUGUAGUGGUGGAAUACGUAGAUAUCCGGAGGAACACCAGCGGCGAAGGCGGCUUCUGGUCCGAUACUGACGCUGAGGUGCGAAAGCGUGGGGAGCGAUCCGG